UUUGCAUGUGAAUGAUUGUCGAGUGCUUUCUCGCUGCGCGGUUUGCCGAGUGCGUUGUGCCGAUGAGAUUCAAGUGUUUGUAAUUGCGCAGAAUCCGGGGUUUCCUCUCAUUGUGAAGGUACACUGCACUUAGCAAAAACCUUCGGAGACGUCACACAGGACAAUCCUUACAUCCUCCCAAAACUGGUAAUUAUGCCUUGUUUGGGAGUUCGCACAUGCAACAAAAAUGGUCUCACCCCAUUCCCCUGGAUACGUACAGCAAUACCCCUGCACCUCCAUGAAGUAGGGAGGAGCUACUCGCAUAUAUAAACUCGAGAGAAGACCCAGAACAUCAACUAAGCAACAGGACAAGAAGCUCACAGCUCAGAGAAGGUUUACUUGCUUCGGCCUAAAUCGAUUAGAAAAAACCAGCCUUAUCCACAAUGAAGACCUACAUUUUGUCUCUUCUGUUGGUGGCUAUGACCUGCUAUUUCUAUGCCGAGGCAUUGCCGGCUCCUGAAUCCUUAACCAAAUCCACGACCGAGAUCCCCAUCGACUCAUCAGUAGUAAACACACCUUCUCCAAGGAGUCCACAAGCCAUCCAAAUAUCAAAAUGGGUGCGGUCCAUGCUCUGGGGGCUCUGGUGACACUAUAAUCAUCCAGAAUCGUUGCUGCGGAGGUUAGGGUGGACUAUUACUCCUCAACGACGUCUGGUCAUCCCGAGUUAUUAAAGAGUUAAACGCGAGGGAUAACGGACUUUGAUCAAUGGCUUCAGUGACACUCGCUCUUGUAAUGGCAAUGAUUUUUCUGACGGAAGAACUAUACGAAAUUCUUAUCCUGUAAGGAGUCCAGUUUUAUGCACGUUGAAGCACUUAAAUCACAUACCUUGGUUUUGCCUCACUUUUCUUACAACUAUAAAUUUAAAAGUAGUAAUGUCACUAUACAUUCAUUUCUUGUAGUGUUGCACAAAAACAUGAUUUUGAUUUUCCUUGUGCAUUGUCAGUUCUCAUUUAAUA